AGCUCUUAGUGCUGCAGUUUUCUAGUCGCAGUGCGGCAAAGCAGACGCAAAGAACCAGGCACGAAGCAGCAUAGAUUUUUUAUUCUCGUCUUUUUUAUACGAGGGAAAUUUUGCUGGUGUUAGCGUAGGAACAGACACACAGCCUGGAUGUGUUGGCUUCAGCCUGGCAGCAUUUUCAGCUGAACAGGGACUGCUCGGAGCUCUGUAUACAAAUUGCCUCUGAGGAAGAACGGCUGGUUUCCCAUUUUGCGUACUAAAAGGUUUUUUUACGCCAUGAUGAUAAACCUGCAGGAAUAGGACAAAGGAGAUGGUACCUGCCACUGUGUGUUUGACUGGGGCCUUUGCAGGUGCUCCACUGCUGAAGCUGGGUCAGCGUCCCAGGAUCAUAUAUAUCGGUAAUACAGAUUGCCACAAUUUCCUACAUCAGUUAGAGCAAAGCUCAAACAAGAAACCAGACUCUCUGACCUAAAUCAAUCCCAGUCCUUCUGGAUACAGGGCAGCAGUCGACUAGCAAUGACACAACCAGCCAUCAAGUGGAGAGUCUCUGGGACUGCAAUCUGUAUCAGUUGGAGCCUGUGAGAAAGAAAAGCUUUCCGUUAUCCAGUCGCUUCUCCUUCUUCUAAUACAGUUACUACAGCUACUACUACUACUACUUUUUUUCUUGCCUGUAAGAAGCUAUGAAUUGUGCUUGGUCUCUGAGUGUAUAUCUGUGUGGAUUAGCCUGUCUAUAAUGCAGUCCUUAUCUGCUCUGGCUGGAAAUCAGGGCACAAAGUCAGCCUGCUUUAACUGUUGUUUCUUUCUGCGUGAUGCUAUGCAGCUAGGACGGGUUACACUGACAACAAAGGAACAAGCACAAAGCAUCACUUUAUUUUCUGGACUGUUAUGGGAACAUAGCUCUUCUUUGAGAUGACACCCUCUUCUCUUUUCCUUUCUGUUUCUUUUUUUAUUCAUCUUUUCGAAGAGCCUAUCAGACACCAUCGUGGAUGUGGUUUUUAAUGAUUUGGAAAAGACAGUCUGUGGAGACUGCGAUUUGAGACAGCAACACAUUUAGGUUAUUGCCAAUUUGAAACACUUGGUUUGUGAAGCACAGCCCUAAGGGACAAGCUCAGUAACUGAGAAAGAGAUUGUAGAUAAAGACAUAAAAAUGACAAGCGUAAUGGAGGUUCUGCAAAAGAGACUGUCAGAGAAUCAGUUCAUGGAUGGCAAUUUCACCAGUCUGAAUCUGAAUAAUUCAUAGAUUGAAAUUACCCUGCUUUCACCUUUCUAUUUAAACCGGCAUGAUCUGAAUCUCUAAUAAAUUUUCAAGAUAAAGUAAAAUGCCAGUCUGAAUCUGAAGAGCUUUUAAAACCAGAUGCUACACCCUGAAUCUUUCAAUACCUUUCACAAUUAUCCUGUGAGAACCGCACUUCAUCACGAAGCACCAUUACCAGUGAAAAUUACUGUGAUUACAAUAGCAACAAUAAAAUACCAUCAAAUGAUCUGUAAUUUACCUAAUUUACCAAGGCUUACUGUGUGCCUAUUGUGUCUCACAAUGUCUGGCAUUGGAUCAAUAUCACAGUGGAACAAAAAUGCCUUAGUACAUGCUUCCGUUUGGUACCUUUAACUUUGACAGCACAGGAAAAUCCAUCUCCUGUUAAACAUUUUUACAACCAGACUGUCUAUGUGCCUGCUGUAGGAUGUGAUUGAUUCUCCUUGAUUUUCUUUAGUUGCUGGGUAUUGGAUGUCAUUAUGGUACUAAUUUGUUUAUAACAUAUACUCAUGCACAAAGACUGCAGCAAAUGAGCAACAGCAUAGAGAAAUCUGCACUGCUACAGCAGUAGCAGCGCUCGCACAGAGGAAGCCAAUACGAGUUCUGCACCCUAUGUGAAUAAUUACUCAGGUUUGAGGUAGAAAUGCUUUCUAGCACCACUGGUCUUGGUUGUACUACAUGACAAAGGUACGCAAAAGCCACAGCCAGGAAAAACGAUGAUGUGUGACACUAACAAGAUUAUUCCCUUGUUCAGUGAUUAGUUCGUGAUUGUGAGAGACAGUGUGACUCUCUAUGUAAGUGUGUAUGUAUAUAUACACAUAUGUAUAUAUACAUGUGUAUGUAUAUACAGGCAUAUGCAAAUGUAAAGAUAUUAUGCUGUGUGAAUAUGUGCUGAUCAUUGCAAGUAACAACUCUUUCUGACAAGCCAGGCACAGUGCUUUGCCACAAUCUGCUCGGUUGUAACAAAUCUCUGCUUUGGAGGUGUAAAUUCUCUAUAGGACGAUGCCGGACUUCUGCAACAAUAAGUAGUAUUUAUGAAAUAUGUUGGUGCUGAUAGCUAGGCUACAGAAUAGCAUUUUAAGCAUAGUUUGAGUCCUUCUAUCAUAAUCUCAAUGGGGAGAAAUACGUACAGAAGGCUAGAAACAGGCAUUCUUCAUGGAGACAACUGUAUCUGCUGCCUGUAUGUGUAUGAGUUGUACACUUCAAUUUUGUUUUUCAUUUUAUAACCAGACCUACUCUGCCUUCAGGGAAUAUUUUCUAAGGAAGGAAGGGAGUCCCUGUGGAUUUGAUAGCUGAGGUCUAACGACUAGUAUACUAAGCAGGUGCACAUCAACCUCGGAGUAGGGCCUCUGAGAACUUCAGGAAAUGGGUCUUGACACAGAAGGCAACCUAAAACCUUGACCUGCUGCCUGCACAUCACUUCAGAGGACAGCCAGCAUGUUAGCCCCUGAUUGGGGUUGGGCACAGAAACAAGAAGCCUGAUGAAAUUAUCCCUGAAGAAGCUGGGGCUUAUUCUGCAAGAUGCCGAGUGCCCUGCUCCAGAGGAGCCCCGGCUGGGCUCAAUUCCACUAGAGCAAAACUGAUCGAAGCUGGUAUGUUUGCUUUAGAUGUGGAUGCCACACACUCUGUUACCACAGAGCUGUGACAGCUUAAUGAGCUAUCACCCACCAAUGGAGCUGCUGUUACCGUGUGCGUGCUCCUACCCUGCCCCCUUUCUCCAAAGGGGCAACCUUCUUAAAUCUCAAUGAGAGUCUCAUAAAUGAGCCCUCGUCAUGCAAAGCUGUCUAUUGCAGUCUGUCACACAAACCCAGACAUCUUUGUCUCACCAAACUGUCCGUCUCCUUUUCCAUAUAAUGUGCCUGGAGGACACUCCUCUGACAAGAGGGACCUGCUUUUGGCCAAGGCAGGGUUGGAAAGGCAGUAAAUAAAAGAUAAAUUUUUCAAAGUUCAGACAUAGGUUUUUGGCAAACUGAAAUAGCUCAAAGGGGUAAGCCUCUGCUUCCUGUUUAUUUGAAGAUCCUACUAGAAUAACUCACCACUGACAAACGAGGCGCACAGAGGCCACAGGCCAAAGCCACAGAUCCCAGGCCACGGGCACACUCUUCCCAUCAGGCGUACACAGAAACACUCGGGUACCUGGCAUCAGCAUUUCGAAAGCAAACAGGAAAAGCUCAACGGGCUCUCUCUUCUUCAUUUGUGGGAAUCGUGGCCUCUCUGGCUGGGUCAGAACCUGGGCCCUGUGGUUUCACCAGCUGUGAAAGGCAAGGGAGCACGGGAAAAGCUGCCGUCUGCUCCAAGGCAAGGCUGGGUGCUGAAAGCUGGCUGGAGCCCUGCCUGCCAGCAGCCUCACCGGCCGAGCUUCGGCGCUCAAGGUCCAAACAAAGCACUGGCAUGCUAAAAACACAGUAUUUACAAACGGACUAUUGUGAGUAUUACUCAAACACCACAACUCCAGAAAUUAGCUUGGUAGAAGCCAUUCUUUUAUUUACUUAUUUGCAUUAAAGCAGAACAGAAACAUACAACAGUGCAGACGAAAUGCCACAUGACUUGAAGCUAUCAAAUUAUUCAUUAGCUGGCUUAAAGAACAGCAUUCUGUUAGCCCUGUCGUCUUCAUUUCAUGCUACUAUUGUUUGUAUAUUGUGUCUUGAUUUGAUAUUAGGCUUUAAAUACUUCUGGGAAUAGAUUUGUUUCCUUAUAUGCUCAUUUCACCCCUAGUAUGUAAGCCUCCAUUCCAGCUAAUGCCUGUAGUUUCUAAAAUACAAUCAGCAAUAAUAUUUAUUGUUUUCUUGUGUGCCUAUCCAGGAAAAGAAAAUUGCUACCAGAAUAACAUCCAGCACAAUAACAGGAUGAAAAUAUGCACCCUAUUUUUUAAUUCACACAUCUCACUCUAGCAUCAUGCCAGUUCAUGUGGAAAGCAGUGGGAAAUCCGACCAAAUGAGGAUGUCUGAUUUGUGUCCCAUUUGUGUGCUGGAUUUAUCACAGUAAAUUCACUUUAGUUUUGUCU